rnacentral:rRNA from 1 species
AACGAACGCUGGCGGCGCGUUUUAAGCAUGCAAGUCGAGCGGCAGGGGGGCCUCGGUCCCCCGAGAGCGGCGGACGGGUGAGUAACACGUGGACAACCUGCCCCCCGGUUCGGGAUAGCCCAGGGAAACCUGGAUCAAUACCGGAUGCGAGGGCGGCCGCACAAGCGGCCGUCGGGAAAGGCGCUUCGGCGCCGCCGGGGGAUGGGUCCGCGUCCCAUUAGCUAGACGGUGGGGUAACGGCCCACCGUGGCGAUGAUGGGUAGCCGGCCUGAGAGGGUGGACGGCCACAUUGGAACUGAGACACGGUCCAGACUCCUACGGGAGGCAGCAGCUAAGAAUCUUCCGCAAUGGGCGAAAGCCUGACGGAGCGACGCCGCGUGAACGAAGAAGGCCGUGAGGUUGUAAAGUUCUUUUCGGGAGGGGGAACGAGGCUGCCAGGCAAUGGGCGGCCGAUGACGUGAAUCCCGGAAUAAGCCCCGGCUAACUACGUG